rnacentral:rRNA from 1 species
UACGUAGGUGGCAAGCGUUGUCCGGAAUUAUUGGGCGUAAAGCGCGCGCAGGCGGUUUUUUAAGUCUGAUGUGAAAGCCCACGGCUCAACCGUGGAGGGUCAUUGGAAACUGGGAAACUUGAGUGCAGAAGAGGAAAGUGGAAUUCCACGUGUAGCGGUGAAAUGCGUAGAGAUGUGGAGGAACACCAGUGGCGAAGGCGACUUUCUGGUCUGUAACUGACGCUGAGGCGCGAAAGCUAGGGGAGCAAACAGG